rnacentral:rRNA from 1 species
UACGAAGGGGGCUAGCGUUGUUCGGAAUUACUGGGCGUAAAGGGCGCGUAGGCGGUACUUCAAGUCAGGCGUGAAAGCCCCGGGCUCAACCUGGGAACCGCGCUUGAGACUGGAGAACUAGAGUUCGGGAGAGGAUGGUGGAAUUCCCAGUGUAGAGGUGAAAUUCGUAGAUAUUGGGAAGAACACCGAUGGCGAAGGCAGCCAUCUGGACCGACACUGACGCUCAUGCACGAAAGCGUGGGGAGCAAACAGG